rnacentral:rRNA from 1 species
GACGAACGCUGGCGGCGUGCUUAACACAUGCAAGUCGAACGGAAAGGCCCUGCUUUUGUGGGGUGCUCGAGUGGCGAACGCGUGAGUAACACGUGAGUAUCCUGCCCUUGACUUUGGGGUAACUUCAGGAAACUGGGGCUAAUAUCGGAUAGGAGCUCCUGCUCCAUGGUGGGCGUUGGAUAGUUUCGGCGGUUGGGGAUGGACUCGCGGCUUAUCAGCUUGUUGGUGGGGUAGUGGCUUACCAAGGCUUUGACGGGUAGGCGGCAUGUGAGGGCGACCGGCCACAUGAGGACUGAGGGACGGCGCAGACUGGAACGGGAGGCAACAGGGGGAAGUAUGACACAGUGAGCGGGAGCGAGAGGAGGAAGCGUUGGGUGCGGAAAGACCGCUUUCGGGGUAAGAACAGCUGUCGCCUGAGACGAAGCGGGAGUGACGGUAAUGAAUAAAGAAGCACCGGCUAACUACGUG